rnacentral:rRNA from 1 species
GUAGGUCUGUCCUGCCCAGUGAUAAUAAUUCAACGGCCGCGGUACCUUGACCGUGCAAAGGUAGCAUAAUCAUUUGCCUUUUAAUUAAAGGCUAGUAUGAAUGGAUCCACAAGAAUAAAACUGUCUCAUUUCUAAAAUAAAUAUAAACUGAUAUCUAAAUGAAGAAGUUUAGAUACUAAUAAAGGACAAGAAGACCCUAUAGAGCUUUAUUAUUAUUUAGACAUACUAAUAUAAUAAAUUGAUUGGGACAAUCUUAAGACAUAUAAACCUCUUAUAAUUUAAAUAUACUACACCCUAACUUGUAAAUGAAUAAGCUACCUUAGGGAUAACAGGCUAAUCUUACUAAAGAGAUCACAUUGACAGUAAGGAUUGGCACCUCGAUGUUGGCUUAGUGUAACUAUAAGGUGCAGCCGCCUUAUUAAGUUGGUUUGUUCAACCAUUAAAUCACUACAUGAG